AAAGUACUCCCUCCGUCCCAAAAUUCUUGUCUUAGAUUUGUCUAGAUACAGAUGUAUCAAGUCACAUUUUAGUAUUAGAUACAUCCGUAUCUAGACAAAUCUAAGACAAGAAAUUUGGGAUAGAGGGAGUUGUUG
rfam:Triticum aestivum genome assembly, contig: Triticum_aestivum_CS42_TGACv1_scaffold_382755_5AL